GAUCCCUCAAGAUACAAUGGCCUCAGAAUACAAUAUUUUCAACAUACAAUGGUCUUUUCUGACCCAUCGUAAGUUGAAACUAGACUCGACAUGCAAUGCCUCAGACCCAGAUCCAACCAAUCCAGGCCACUUCUCUGGUAAAAUAGCUGUAUUAUGCUACUUUCACACU